AUCCAGCUGAUGAGUCCCAAAUACAACGAAACGCGCGUUCUGGAU
rfam:Schistosoma curassoni strain Dakar, Senegal genome assembly, scaffold: SCTD_scaffold0001258